UACGUAGGGUGCAAGCGUUGUCCGGAAUUAUUGGGCGUAAAGAGCUCGUAGGCGGUUCGUCGCGUCGGCUGUGAAAACCUGAGGCUCAACCUCAGGCCUGCAGUCGAUACGGGCGGACUUGAGUACUGCAGGGGGAGACUGGAAUUCCUGGUGUAGCGGUGAAAUGCGCAGAUAUCAGGAGGAACACCGGUGGCGAAGGCGGGACUCUGGGCCGAUGACUGACGCUGGAGGCACGAAAGCGUGGGGAGCAAACAGG
rnacentral:rRNA from 1 species